rnacentral:rRNA from 1 species
AUUGAACGCUGGCGGCAGACCUAACACAUGCAAGUCGAGCGGAUGAAGGGAGCUUGCUCCUGGAUUCAGCGGCGGACGGGUGAGUAAUGCCUAGGAAUCUGCCUGGUAGUGGGGGAUAACGUCCGGAAACGGGCGCUAAUACCGCAUACGUCCUGAGGGAGAAAGUGGGGGAUCUUCGGACCUCACGCUAUCAGAUGAGCCUAGGUCGGAUUAGCUAGUUGGUGGGUUAAAGGCCUACCAAGGCGACGAUCCGUAACUGGUCUGAGAGGAUGAUCAGUCACACUGGAACUGAGACACGGUCCAGACUCCUACGGGAGGAAGCAGUGGGGAAUAUUGGACAAUGGGCGAAAGCAUGAUCCAGCCAUGCCGCGUGUGUGAAGAAGGUCUUCGGAUUGUAAAGCACUUUAAGUUGGGAGGAAGGGCAGUAAGUUAAUACCUUGCUGUUUUGACGUUACCAACAGAAUAAGCACCGGCUAACUUCGUG